CCUACGGAGGCUGCAGUGGGAAAUAUUGGACAAUGGGCGAAAGCCUGAUCCAGCCAUGCCGCGUGUGUGAAGAAGGCCUUCGGGUUGUAAAGCACUUUCAGUGGGGAAGAAAGCCUUGGGGCUAAUACCCUCGAGGAAGGACAUCACCCACAGAAGAAGCACCGGCUAACUCCGUGCCAGCAGCCGCGGUAAUACGGAGGGUGCGAGCGUUAAUCGGAAUUACUGGGCGUAAAGCGCGCGUAGGCGGUCUGAUAAGCCGGUUGUGAAAGCCCCGGGCUCAACCUGGGAACGGCAUCCGGAACUGUCAGGCUAGAGUGCAGGAGAGGAAGGUAGAAUUCCCGGUGUAGCGGUGAAAUGCGUAGAGAUCGGGAGGAAUACCAGUGGCGAAGGCGGCCUUCUGGACUGACACUGACGCUGAGGUGCGAAAGCGUGGGUAGCAAACAGGAUUAGAUACCUGGUAGUC
rnacentral:rRNA from 1 species